CCUACGGGGGGCAGCAGUGAGGAAUAUUGGUCAAUGGUCGGGAGACUGAACCAGCCAAGCCGCGUGAGGGAGGAAGGUACAGAGUAUCGUAAACCUCUUUUGUCAGGGAACAAAGGCGGGGACGUGUCCCCGGAUGAGUGUACCUGAAGAAAAAGCAUCGGCUAACUCCGUGCCAGCAGCCGCGGUAAUACGGAGGAUGCGAGCGUUAUCCGGUUUUAUUGGGUUUAAAGGGUGCGCAGGCGGUCUGUUAAGUCAGCGGUCAAAGCCCGGGGCUCACCCCCGGCCCGCCGUUGAAACUGGCAGUCGCGAGUUGGAGAGAAGUAUGCGGAAUGCGCGGUGUAGCGGUGAAAUGCAUAGAUAUCGCGCAGAACUCCGAUUGCGAAGGCAGCAUGCCGGCUCCACACUGACGCUGAGGCACGAAAGCGUGGGUAUCGAACAGGAUUAGAUACCCGUGUAGUC
rnacentral:rRNA from 1 species